rnacentral:lncRNA from 10 species
GGGAGCCUAAGCAGACAGGCACAGGCACGGGAGGCUCCUGUGUCCCCUUUCCCUGGGCACCGUUGACCUCUCCUAGGACUCUAGAGGGAGCGUGGCGAUGGGGUAGAGGAGCGGCAGGGGGACUAUUUGCCAUGCGGGCACUGUGAUGUCAUUCAAUCCUUAUGACAACAACCCUGACCUCAGGAUGCUAUCUUCACCCAUUUCAGAGAUAAGGAGGCAGAGGCUUAGUGAGGUUUAUGAUGGGCCAAGGGCCUCAACAGCUACCAAGUGACAGAGCUGGCAGGGUCCCCCUGGGGGUGUGGGUGGGAGACUCAGGCCCCAAGCUGGGCAGAGGGAUGGGCAGGAAGGUGGCACAUGGGGCCGCCACCCUCGCCCCAUGCUGGCUGCAUGCCGAGACACCCGGAUCCCGGAGCUGGGCCAGGCAGAGGCCUCCUGAACAAAUAACAGGUUGGCAGCCUAGAGAGGUGGUCACGGGACCGGUCCCUGCCCAGGGCACAGCAUCUGGGAACCAGGCCACCCAUUUACCUGCUGUCUAUCCAGCAUCUGUCUCCCUUGCUCAGGUGGCCUGAGCCCCACUGUGGCCAAAACCUGACCCUUCCCACCCCACCGAGGACUUCAGUGUGGACUGACUCCUCCCCUGCACUGGGCCUCCUGAGGAACACAGAGCAGUAAUGCUAAUCUCCAUUCUGCCUGGAAGAAAACUGGAGCCUGGAUGGAGAUGGUGACUUCCAAGCUUCCACCCCGAAGCUCAGCCCCAGCUGCUCUGCCCCCUGCCCACGUCCACGCAGGACACAGCUCCCACUGAUGGGCAAGUCUGGGCCAGGGUGACCUUCCCAGCACCCGUCAGCCCAUACAUGGUAUUACAGCCGCCUAUGCUUUCUGUCUCUCCUCACUCCCUACAUUGACCUCAUUGUCCCUCCCCAGCCUCCGCAGCCCAGGGGGUCUCCCUUCUCUGAGCUCCAGGCAUUCCUUCGCUCACUCACCCACUCGGUCAUCUACCCACUCCCCCAUCUGCCCUUCAUUCCUCUGCUCAGUCAUUCAUUCAGAACACAUGUCCUGAGGUCUGCUCUGGAGUGGACAAUGGUGCUGGGUGCUGGGAUCAGAGUGGGGUGAACCAGGCCUCCCCAGUCCCAAAGCAGAGCCCCAAAGAUACCUGCCUGGACUGUUCCUGAGGAGCCUCUGGCUUCACUGCCUAGACAGUGAGUCCCCCAGCACUGAGGCCUUGCUUAAUCCUUUCCUCCCGCUCUGCACCAGCCCUAGCUGGGGCUGGGGUUGCUGCCUCAUAGGCUCCAGGCCAGUCUGGUGAGCAGAAGUCCCUGCCCCUCACAACUCCCCAGGCGGGGUGACCACCCAGGCCAAGGCGAAACCCCCACGGGGAUAGACAAGGUCACCAUCUCCUAACCAAAGGUGACAUGGGGAAGCCCUAGCUCUGCCCCCAGAUCACAGUGUGUGCAGGAUUAAGUCACCAUAACCUCUCCAAGCCUCAGUUUCUCUACUAAAAAUUGGGUCUCAGGCCGGCUCUCUCAUCCUACAGAGGACGAAUGGGAGGAUGAGAAACUGGAAACUGAGUUCACCAAGGAUUGGUUGGAAGCAGAACCCUGAAGGAGGGCUUUCCCAGUGGAGAGGACCUUAGACUCUUCUAAGUCGCUUCUCUUCUCUGAGCCUCAGUUUCCUCAGCUACAAAAUGGGAGAGUAACACCAACUUUGCAGGGUUGUUGUGUGG